CCGCGCUCUCGCACGCGAUGCAGCGACGGCCUCCUUUUUUUCGAACCCUCCCUUCCUUCUCACCUACGCAGACAGACAAACAGACAGACACACACACAUACACGCACACACCUGGUAGUGCCACUUGUCUUGUGCACUCCCCGCGCCUUCCCACCGGAGUUCCCCUUGCUUUCGCGUCCCCUUUGCCCUCUUUCUCAGCGACAAGUGGGCGUUCUGCAGCCUCUGAUUCUCCCGCUCCCUUUUUAAUCUCCUUCAUGCGAGGUGGCAGAACGGCUGGCUGUAGCUCCGGAUUCUGGUGAGUGUAGAGCCAAGUGAACUCAUCGCGCAUGGAGGAGCAGCUUUUCCAGUCUGAUAUUGUCGAUCUCGGACUGACAACCUUAGAGGCACUGGUGCGCGAGCAGCGCCUACAGAAUGCACGGAUGGAAGCCCGCCUGCGUGUACUCGAGAAGCGAAUGUCGUCGCUGCCGCUACACAUGGGGCUGAGGGCGCCAAAGAAACUAACCUGCAGCGACGGCGACGACGGCGGAGCGACGAGAAAUACGGCGCUCUCACUUGACGAGGUCGAAGCCCCGGGGCCCAACACCUCAGCAGACGAUCCUGCAACGCCCAUGUGCGACUAUUGCUUCCUCUUUUCGCACAAGUGCUUUCCGUGCCCUUGUUGUGGGCGCGAGUGGUACUGCAGCGCUGCCUGUCAGCGACUACGCCACCGCUGCCAUGCUUCUCGGUGCGGACAACACUAUCUACCUCAGACGCGCCUUCAGCCGAGAGUCGCUCACUAGUCCGUUCGUCGUGUUCGCAGUGCUUUGCUAUCGACCUCGUGAUGGCGUGUAUAUGUGUAUAUAUGUACAUGUGCGUGCGCGUGCUAGAUGCGGCUUGCCUUUCCGCCUCCCUUUUACGGCCAGCCCGAGCUGCCUUCUUUCCUCUUCCUCUUUCACCUGUACUAUAUCACACACUACGAGAGUGAAGAAGUUCGCCCUCUUCUGCCCAACGACGACUCUUCGCUGUUCGGUGUUUUCUUGUUCGGGCUUCUCCGUGGAGACCGUGUUCCUCUGUCGCAGUCCCCCUCACGAGAGAGCGUCUGUGUGUUUCUCCGUAGGAGUACGUGGGUGUGCAUUCUUCGCUCCAUCGCACCACGUAACGUGUGCGCAGCGC
rnacentral:misc_RNA from 1 species